UGUGAGCUCGAUGAGUAGGGCGGGACACGUGGUAUCCUGUCUGAAUAUGGGGGGACCAUCCUCCAAGGCUAAAUACUCCUGACUGACCGAUAGUGAACCAGUACCGUGAGGGAAAGGCGAAAAGAACCCCGGCGAGGGGAGUGAAAAAGAACCUGAAACCGUGUACGUACAAGCAGUGGGAGCACAGAGCAAUCUGUGUGACUGCGUACCUUUUGUAUAAUGGGUCAGCGACUUAUAUUCUGUAGCAAGGUUAACCGAAUAGGGGAGCCGAAGGGAAACCGAGUCUUAACUGGGCGUUAAGUUGCAGGGUAUAGACCCGAAACCCGGUGAUCUAGCCAUGGGCAGGUUGAAGGUUGGGUAACACUAACUGGAGGACCGAACCGACUAAUGUUGAAAAAUUAGCGGAUGACUUGUGGCUGGGGGUGAAAGGCCAAUCAAACCGGGAGAUAGCUGGUUCUCCCCGAAAGCUAUUUAGGUAGCGCCUCGUGAAUUCAUCUCCGGGGGUAGAGCACUGUUUCGGCAAGGGGGUCAUCCCGACUUACCAACCCGAUGCAAACUGCGAAUACCGGAGAAUGUUAUCACGGGAGACACACGGCGGGUGCUAACGUCCGUCGUGAAGAGGGAAACAACCCAGACCGCCAGCUAAGGUCCCAAAGUCAUGGUUAAGUGGGAAACGAUGUGGGAAGGCCCAGACAGCCAGGAUGUUGGCUUAGAAGCAGCCAUCAUUUAAAGAAAGCGUAAUAGCUCACUGGUCGAGUCGGCCUGCGCGGAAGAUGUAACGGGGCUAAACCAUGCACCGAAGCUGCGGCAGCGACGCUUAUGCGUUGUUGGGUAGGGGAGCGUUCUGUAAGCCUGCGAAGGUGUGCUGUGAGGCAUGCUGGAGGUAUCAGAAGUGCGAAUGCUGACAUAAGUAACGAUAAAGCGGGUGAAAAGCCCGCUCGCCGGAAGACCAAGGGUUCCUGUCCAACGUUAAUCGGGGCAGGGUGAGUCGACCCCUAAGGCGAGGCCGAAAGGCGUAGUCGAUGGGAAACAGGUUAAUAUUCCUGUACUUGGUGUUACUGCGAAGGGGGGACGGAGAAGGCUAUGUUGGCCGGGCGACGGUUGUCCCGGUUUAAGCGUGUAGGCUGGUUUUCCAGGCAAAUCCGGAAAAUCAAGGCUGAGGCGUGAUGACGAGGCACUACGGUGCUGAAGCAACAAAUGCCCUGCUUCCAGGAAAAGCCUCUAAGCAUCAGGUAACAUCAAAUCGUACCCCAAACCGACACAGGUGGUCAGGUAGAGAAUACCAAGGCGCUUGAGAGAACUCGGGUGAAGGAACUAGGCAAAAUGGUGCCGUAACUUCGGGAGAAGGCACGCUGAUAUGUAGGUGAAGUCCCUCGCGGAUGGAGCUGAAAUCAGUCGAAGAUACCAGCUGGCUGCAACUGUUUAUUAAAAACACAGCACUGUGCAAACACGAAAGUGGACGUAUACGGUGUGACGCCUGCCCGGUGCCGGAAGGUUAAUUGAUGGGGUUAGCGCAAGCGAAGCUCUUGAUCGAAGCCCCGGUAAACGGCGGCCGUAACUAUAACGGUCCUAAGGUAGCGAAAUUCCUUGUCGGGUAAGUUCCGACCUGCACGAAUGGCGUAAUGAUGGCCAGGCUGUCUCCACCCGAGACUCAGUGAAAUUGAACUCGCUGUGAAGAUGCAGUGUACCCGCGGCAAGACGGAAAGACCCCGUGAACCUUUACUAUAGCUUGACACUGAACAUUGAGCCUUGAUGUGUAGGAUAGGUGGGAGGCUUGGAAGUGUGGACGCCAGUCUGCAUGGAGCCGACCUUGAAAUACCACCCUUUAAUGUUUGAUGUUCUAACGUUGACCCGUAAUCCGGGUUGCGGACAGUGUCUGGUGGGUAGUUUGACUGGGGCGGUCUCCUCCUAAAGAGUAACGGAGGAGCACGAAGGUUGGCUAAUCCUGGUCGGACAUCAGGAGGUUAGUGCAAUGGCAUAAGCCAGCUUGACUGCGAGCGUGACGGCGCGAGCAGGUGCGAAAGCAGGUCAUAGUGAUCCGGUGGUUCUGAAUGGAAGGGCCAUCGCUCAACGGAUAAAAGGUACUCCGGGGAUAACAGGCUGAUACCGCCCAAGAGUUCAUAUCGACGGCGGUGUUUGGCACCUCGAUGUCGGCUCAUCACAUCCUGGGGCUGAAGUAGGUCCCAAGGGUAUGGCUGUUCGCCAUUUAAAGUGGUACGCGAGCUGGGUUUAGAACGUCGUGAGACAGUUCGGUCCCUAUCUGCCGUGGGCGCUGGAGAACUGAGGGGGGCUGCUCCUAGUACGAGAGGACCGGAGUGGACGCAUCACUGGUGUUCGGGUUGUCAUGCCAAUGGCACUGCCCGGUAGCUAAAUGCGGAAGAGAUAAGUGCUGAAAGCAUCUAAGCACGAAACUUGCCCCGAGAUGAGUUCUCCCUGACUCCUUGAGAGUCCUGAAGGAACGUUGAAGACGACGACGUUGAUAGGCCGGGUGUGUAAGCGCAGCGAUGCGUUGAGCUAACCGGUACUAAUGAACCGUGAGGCUUAACCUU
rnacentral:rRNA from 1 species